rnacentral:lncRNA from 1 species
GGGCGCUCUGAGCGCUCGCUCAGCGGUGCCGACCCGGCUCUCUCCGUCUUUCCAGGGCCGCGAUGCCUGCCAGGUUUCACCCAGCGGGGCCGCCCGGCUAGAAGCGAGCCGCUGAGGCCUGGGACGUCAGCGCUGCGCUCCCCCUUGUACGCCACGAGCUGUGCCUACACGAGGUUAUGGAGCUCUGGAGCCAUCCCAAGCAGUGCAGGGGAGGAUCUCUGAGUGUGCUCCAGGCUCAAAGAAACUUCCCUAGGGAAGGCCACAUCACAAACUCAUGUCUACUUCAGCAUGAUGCAUGUAGGAGUCUAGCACGUCUCUGAACACUUGAGCCUGGUUGUCUGUGUGAGGAGAUCUGCCACAGGCCUCCUGCUGCACUACUUGCCUGCUCCCUAUCCUUCAUGCUGCUCAAGUGCCAAGGUAGCUCAGGUAGAAAGCUGCAAACCGCAGGAAUUAAUCUUCACUGACAAAGGCAUCCCUGCUAAGGACUGGUCUGGAUUGGAGGAUGUGCUUGAAGCUGCAGACUCUAUGAGCAGGGACACUCCCAGCACCCUCGAUUAAGGCGCUGCUGGUGCCUCAGGACGGCCUCAGGACGGCUUUUCCAUGGGCACGGGGGAGAUUCCUCAGCUCGCAUCUCUCCAGACAGGUUGCUGAGUGCAAGGCAAGCCUUCAAAGCCCUGAAGCAGGAGAAACGAUUGCUUUCACUCUGGCCAAAUUCUCACAAGUUGAACAGACAGACCUGAUCAAGCUUAAAGGACCCUGCAGCUACAAACAGAUAUCCAAGCAUACAGAAGUACAGGAUCUGAGAAACAGUCCAGGAAGGAGAGAGCCGUGUGCCGAACUGCUGAGCCAAGACCAGAGUCAACCCUGAGCCCUCCUCACUACAAGGCAGACCCCACACCAUCGCUGGAGGAAGGGGGAUCAGUGUUGUGCUCCUUGGCUUGUGAGACAGGAUGACCACAGCUGCUGCAAGACAGCAGGAAAUCACCUCUGUAAAGCUAUCCAGGAAGUCUGGAAUUCAGGUACAAACCUCAUGUUUGUAGGAACGUA